AAAAUCCUGGUGUGACCAAACUCCUGAGAUCCUGUGAUACUAUGAUCCGGGGAAGGAAUCAUGAAGGUUUGCCUUGCUGUCGGACAAGCCUGUUGCUUCCCCUCCUGUAUGUGCAGGGCCACAUUCUCAGCACAGCCUCCCGGGAACUCAAGAGACUGGUCUUGAGCCUCUGCACAGCAUCCACUUCCACAGAGUUGGCACAAGCAUCCUUGGAGGAUGCGGGAGGAUACAAGUGUGUGAGCUGGGAAGAAUAAUCACCCAGAUCUUCAUCUCAGAUGGAGGCUGCAACAGAUGAGUGGACAUCCCUAGGGAGAUGGCAGGGAAGAAGGGAACGUUGUCUUCAGGAGGAAGGAGCGCUCCCUGCUCCUUUGUGUUAGCACAGAGGCCAGAGUUGAAAAGCUUUGGGGAUGAAGACUAGAAAAAGAGGGUGUCUGUUUUCUCAGUAAAGGAUUCCUUGCC
rnacentral:lncRNA from 1 species